CCCCGAAGACGGGGAUAAUUACUGGAAACGGUGGCUAAUACCCGAUGUGCUCGGCGAUUCGGUUCGUCGAGUAAAGCUCCGGCGCUUCGGGAUGGGCCUGCGGCCUAUCAGCUAGUUGGUAGGGUAAUGGCCUACCAAGGCGAAGACGGGUAGGGGGCGUGAGAGCGUGGUCCCCCACACUGGCACUGAGACACGGGCCAGACUUCUACGGGAGGCAGCAGUCGGGGAUAUUGCACAAUCGGCGCAAGCCGGAUGCAGCGACGCCGCGUGGGCGAUGAAGAUCUUCGGGUUGUAAAGCCCUUUUCUGGGGGACGAGAAAGGACGGUACCCCAGGAAUAAGUCCCGGCUAACUACGUGCCAGCAGCCGCGGUAACACGUAGGGGACGAGCGUUAUCCGGAUUCACUGGGCGUAAAGAGCGUUGAGGCGGUUCUGUAAGUUGGGCGUGAAAGCCCCGGGCUUAACCCGGGGACGUCGUUCAAUACUGCAGGACUUGAGGGCAGCAGAGGGAGGUGGAAUUCCCGGUGGAGUGGUGAAAUGCGUAGAUAUCGGGAGGAACACCAGUGGCGAAGGCGGCCUCCUGGGCUGCUCCUGACGCUGAAGGCGAAAGCUAGGGGAGCAAACGGGAUUAGAAACCCCGGUAGUCCUAGCCGUAAACGAUGGAUGCUAGGUGUGGGGGGUAUAGACUCCCUCCGUGCCAAAGCUAACGCGUUAAGC
rnacentral:rRNA from 1 species